rnacentral:rRNA from 1 species
GAUACGGCCCAGACUCCUACGGGAGGCAGCAGUGGGGAAUAUUGGGCAAUGGGCGAAAGCCUGACCCAGCAACGCCGCGUGAGGGAAGAAGGGUUUCGGCUCGUAAACCUCUGUCCUAUGGGACGAAGGAAGUGACGGUACCAUAGGAGGAAGCCCCGGCUAACUACGUGCCAGCAGCCGCGGUAAUACGUAGGGGGCGAGCGUUAUCCGGAUUCAUUGGGCGUAAAGCGCGCGUAGGCGGCCCGGCAGGCCGGGGGUCGAAGCGGGGGGCUCAACCCCCCGAAGCCCCCGGAACCUCCGCGGCUUGGGUCCGGUAGGGGAGGGUGGAACACCCGGUGUAGCGGUGGAAUGCGCAGAUAUCGGGUGGAACACCGGUGGCGAAGGCGGCCCUCUGGGCCGAGACCGACGCUGAGGCGCGAAAGCUGGGGGAGCGAACAGGAUUAGAUACCCUGGUAGUCCCAGCCGUAAACGAUGGACGCUAGGUGUGGGGGGACGAUCCCCCCGUGCCGCAGCCAACGCAUUAAGCGUCCCGCCUGGGGAGUACGGCCGCAAGGCUAAAACUCAAAGGAAUUGACGGGGGCCCGCACAAGCAGCGGAGCAUGUGGCUUAAUUCGAAGCAACGCGAAGAACCUUACCAGGGCUUGACAUAUGGGUGAAGCGGGGGAGACCCCGUGGCCGAGAGGAGCCCAUACAGGUGGUGCAUGGCUGUCGUCAGCUCGUGUCGUGAGAUGUUGGGUUAAGUCCCGCAACGAGCGCAACCCCCGCCGCGUGUUGCCAUCGGGUGAUGCCGGGAACCCACGCGGGACCGCCGCCGUCAAGGCGGAGGAGGGCGGGGACGACGUCAAGUCAUCAUGCCCCUUAUGCCCUGGGCUGCACACGUGCUACAAUGGCCGGUACAGAGGGAUGCCACCCCGCGAGGGGGAGCGGAUCCCGGAAAGCCGGCCCCAGUUCGGAUUGGGGGCUGCAACCCGCCCCCAUGAAGUCGGAGUUGCUAGUAAUCGCGGAUCAGCAUGCCGCGGUGAAUGCGUUCCCGGGCCUUGUACACACCGCCCGUCACACCACCCGAGUCGUCUGCACCCGAAGUCGCCGGCCCAACCGAGAGGGGGGAGGCGCCGAAGGUGUGGAGGGUGAGGGGGGUGAAGUCGUAACAAGGUAGCCGUACCGGAAGGUGCGGCUG